rnacentral:lncRNA from 1 species
UGAACUUUCAAUGUGUCAGCAUAUGGUCUGUAAACUAUGAGAUUUUUCCAAUGAGGGAAUAAUUUAUUAAAAAACAAAUAAGAGAAUAUGGACUGUUUUGUUUUGAGGGCCGAUUAUUGAGAACAUUGAGGUUGAGCUUAGGAGAUGUUUAAAUUGAGAUAUUUGAGGACAUUAGAGUUUAUGAUUUAGACUCAAUUAUAUCUUAUGAGAAAUUUAUUGAUGAUUUUAGGUUGAAGAUAUCAGUACGCAUUCGUUACAUGAGGAUGCCAAGAGGUAAGUAAACUAGACUUUUAAAUGAAUCACAAUAAACAAUAUAUAUGUUUUACUUGUGUGAAAAGUCUAUUUUGAUAUGUACGAAUAUGGAUUUAUGUGUCUCAUAUGUUUAUGUGAUGUGUUGUUAUGUAUUGGGUGUGAUUAUGUACAUGGGCAUAUGUAUGUGUGAUGGUUCAUUAGCAUGAGCACGAAAAUGCAUUGAGUUUUAUAUGAAUGAGAAAGUAGAUUUUAGCAAAUGGGAUUUAUGUUUUAUGAGAUUUUGCAUUGGGGGCCACCUCUUGAAGUUGUAUGGGGGCCAUCUCUUGAGGGCCAGAGCGCCGCAAAGUGCCACGCACAACGCAAAGUGCUACAAUUGUAGAAUAUGUAUUUCAUUGAAAAAAAAAUGAGAAAGUUUGAAAGCGAC